UAAAUGAAUGCUGUGAUAUUAUUGUUGAAACAGAAACAAUUUCACGUUGUUUCGCUGAUGGGAUAUAACUAAUGUUGUGUGUAAUGUAAUACAUUUAUGAAGACACAACCAUGUCAGAGUGGUUGUAGUGGCUUCAACAUCUUAAGCAACAUUAAUUAAACAUUAAAUAGCCAAAUAAUUUUGCAACAUGUUCAGUUUGUCAGCUCUACUCACUCAACGUAUGUGCAUUCCCGCGACAGGUGGUUGAGACGCAUUUACAACAAAUUAACUUUUUUCAGUAAAUUUUUUCUUUUGUUGUUGCGUUUUUUUCAGAGUAGCAUCAACACGUUCACGCGUGACUCUUUAGUUUGUUUGUCGGUUGCCAACCAUCACCUCCUUUUAUUCAUCAUCCAACGCAAAACAUGACUCGCGGAGCGGCACGUGGUCAGCCGGCCCGCUCCUCCCGCCGCGGCCACGCCUCCGGAUGGUGACUCGGUCGGGAGCAGCGUGGCUGGAGCUGGAAGCAGCAGCAAAGAAGCGUUGACGCUGCGUGCGUUUGGGGGGGAAAAAAAACAAAACAAAAAAAACUGCGCCAGGAAACAGCUCCGUUUGCAGACGGUGGAACCAGCGCGCGCAGCGCACCGGAGUCGGUGGAGAACGGAAGUACUCCUGCUGGUCGUCGCGACGGGAUGUGAAGGUGACGUGUGUGAAAGGGACGCUGCGCACUUGAACGCGCCUUGUCCUUUUGGUGUGCCUGAUGGAGAGGGACAGAGAAGCGGACGCAGCGUUAUUCAUGACGGACAACGUUAACAGUUGGUUGUCUUCGAGUCAACGUGAAUCAGAGUCCGCUUUAAUGGACAUGUAUGCUGACCCAGACUGAUGGGAAGUUGUCUCCGGUUGCUCUCAACGCGCGAAAGCCAAAUUGGACAAUACAACAGACGAGGGACAAGAUGCGGCAGUAGAGGAUCUCAACACAACCAGGAUGCAGAGAAGUAAUCGGAGAAGGCACCAAUAAGUCUGGAAAAAACCCAAACGGGUCUCCAAUGGCAGUGUGAGUUCUUCUUUUUGUCCGACUGGAACAAAGGCACAAGCAGUCAACUUGAUAUUGGUUAAAAAAACCUCUUCAAAGCGUAUUGGGGGGUCAAGAACAGCUGUGACUCGAACAGUGAGAUCCAUGGUCAGCUGUUUGUGGCAGGUGACGUUGAUUUAAUCUUAACAAGACCUGGAUUUGUAUUUUGAUAACUUGGCCACCAUUGCUUAAUACACUAAAUGUAAAUCUCCCAUGUUUCCACAUUGUACUUUUUGUUCCAAUAUAUUUUCUGCCGCCCUCUUUCUUAAUUCAAGUGCACAUCUGCACAGUUCCCCACAAACGGCUGAAGAAUAACGUCUCGUCGUCUAAGCACUUUAAGCACUGCUGCAUAUGUAAGUUUCAGCACAGAGAUGAUAAUUCCUGGGCUCGCUAGCAUGGAUAAACAGGGAAAAUGGCUUCUACAUUAUUGGAUUUACUUUGCACAACAACUGUCCCCAAAAGCCUUAAUUUUCCUGAACAGCUUUGUAUUUGGCAGGAGUUUCUUACAACAGCACGCUGAGUGGCUGCACAGGUUUUAUGGUGCUGUGCAUCACUUUAUGGUGUUCAAUCAUGACUGUGUGUCAGGUGCUUAACUCUGCUGUAUUUAGUAAAUCUAUUGUUGGCAGCUGGAAAUUUAGCAUUAGCAUGUUACACACAGAAUUAUACGUACUUCCAAGAACUGAAAUGUUGUUUACAAGGAAAUAGACAUUGAGAUAAGUUUGUUGUUUACGCAAAUGACUUGGCUCAGAAAGUGUUGUAUUUGUCCCCAUUGCUUCGGCACGGCUUCAUUCAUUAACAUUUAAUAGUGUUUAGCUUCUUGCUUACCUACAUACAUCAACAAAAAUAGAACAACUAUGUACAAUGUUUUUGUUUUAUUUGCCUCUACUUCUGUUUUACAAACAGAGAUUUGGGGAAAGCAAAUACAUUCAGAGUCGACUUUGUUAAUAAAACUUACAGUACAAUAAUAUUAACGGUAUAACAUAACCACCCACUAGUUCCCCCAUAUUUGUGCACUAGCUUUGAUUAUGAAUAUGUGUCAGAGAAUGUGAACUGCUGGAGGUUCACCAUUUGCUAACUUCUCCUCUCGGCCGAUCGAUGGCGCGGGGGGUAGAGCACUUUUCACUGAAAACAACCGCCGACUGCUACCAAAAUAAGAUACCGAGG
ensembl:lncRNA